rnacentral:rRNA from 1 species
ACGGAAGGCAGCAGUGGGGAAUAUUGCACAAUGGGGGAAACCCUGAUGCAGCAACGCCGCGUGAGUGAUGACGGUCUUCGGAUUGUAAAGCUCUGUCUUUGGGGACGAUAAUGACGGUACCCAAGGAGGAAGCCACGGCUAACUACGUGCCAGCAGCCGCGGUAAUACGUAGGUGGCGAGCGUUGUCCGGAUUUACUGGGCGUAAAGGGAGCGUAGGCGGAUUCUUAAGUGGGAUGUGAAAUACCCGGGCUUAACCUGGGUGCUGCAUUCCAAACUGGGAAUCUAGAGUGCAGGAGGGGAGAGUGGAAUUCCUAGUGUAGCGGUGAAAUGCGUAGAGAUUAGGAAGAACACCAGUGGCGAAGGCGACUCUCUGGACUGUAACUGACGCUGAGGCUCGAAAGCGUGGGGAGCAAACAGGAUUAGAUACCCUGGUA